rnacentral:lncRNA from 1 species
UCCUCAUGCCCCAGCAGCCAAACACACAGUUUUCCAACUGAAUGAAAGAAAGAAAGAACGGGUUAGGAGGAAACGGGAAGAAGCAGAGAGGGGGAGAGGGACAGAGAGCGGCGGUGUGAGAGGAAGAGAGGGACGAGGCAGCACCGGUGGACCUUGCUGCCGCCGUCGUGCUGAGCCGUCGCAUUCUGCAUCGUUGUACACCAAAGAAAGAGAGAGAAAGAUCGGGUAGGAAUCAGGGGACCGAAGGCGGAGGGAGUGCGGCAGGGGAAGCCAUCGCCGCCAGUCACCGUCGCAAGGCUCUGCUGCAUCCCCACCGCGCUUGGGUGUUGUUGAAGCCACACCUACUGCCGCUGCUACUAGGGUCUGCCGCCGUCUUGUCCCUGGAGCCUGAGCCGCGCAUCUGUCACCGAACCAGAGGAGCUCAUCCUUGCUGAGUCGCCGCCAUCUUGCCUCUGCCGGCGAGCACGAAGAGAGAGGGAGACGGGAGUUUGCACAGCAGAGAGAGGGAGAGCGCGACAGGGGAGACCAUCGCCGCCUGGGUCGCCGUCGCCGGGCCUCCUUGUCGUCGCCAGUUCUGCUUGUUCUAUCGCCGGGAAACUCGUCGCUGUGGGGGUCUCACUGCCGCCGUCCUUGUUGUGGCUGGUGUCGUCACCGCGGAAGCCACCUGCGUCACCGCUGGAGGAAGGGAGAUCCGCGCCGUUGCUGCGAUUUAUGCCGCCGGAAUUGCUCUGCCGCUGCCAGAAUUUCUGGUCGCUGCCGUUCUGGUGAGCUUGCUCUGUUACUGGUUCUUAGUUUCGCCAAUUCAAUUUGUUUGAAGCUGUCACUGAAACUAUUGUGUUUAAUAAAGGGGCUGUCAUAUGUUACGUUGUCGCUGCCGGAGGACCUGCGGCUCUACAUUUUCGACCGCCGGUGGUGGCGCGGGUGUUGCUGGAAACACCAUCGGAACUGC